CUUUGCUACCCAAAAAGUGAGGGGGGUAUGGGGUUCAGAGAUCUCUAUUCUUUUAAUCUUGCCAUGCUCUCAAAGCAAGUUUGGCGGUUGAUCACUAACCCGGAUUCCCUAUGUGCAAGAGUAUUGAAAGCUAAAUACUUCCCCAAUGAAAGCUUAUUACAAGCUACCCUGAAGAGUGGUGCUUCGUUUACGUGGCAGAGCAUUAUAAAAGGUCUUGAAACAUUUAAGUUGGGGUAUAUCUGGAGGGUUGGUACCGGUGAGAACAUUAACAUAUGGAGCGACCCCUGGAUACCGUCUAGUCCGGACAGGAGAGUUCUAUCGAACCGGGGGCAAACACUGAUAUCACGAGUUCAUGAUCUAAUUAACCCUAUGACUGGUUUUUGGGACGAGGAACUGAUCAGGUCUAUAUUCAUAUCGGUUGAUGUAGACAGGAUCUUGCAAAUUCCCCUCAACUAUGGGGCUUUCGAGGACUUUAUCGCAUGGCACCCGGAUCAUAAAGGGUUUUUCUUUGUGAAAUCAGCAUACAAAGUACAAUGGAUACGACUUUCCAGGCACAUGCAACGAUGGAGCGACCUGGAGGCUCAAGAAUUCCAGCGGUGUGGAGUACACUAUGGAAACAAAACGUCCCACGUAAAAUUCAAAUAUUUUGUUGGCGUGCUCUACAUGGUAUUAUUCCGCUAA
rnacentral:rRNA from 1 species